GGUUUUCUCCUUGUAGGAAGUUGGGUCUUGCAGCAGAACAUGGCUACUUCUUGAGAUGGUCGCAAGAUCAGGAAUGGGAAACAUGCAGUCAGAACUCUGAUUUUGGUUGGAUGCAUCUUGCUGAGCCAGUAAUGCAGUCCUAUACAGAUUCUACAGAUGGCUCUAGCAUUGAAAAAAAGGAAAGCGCUAUAGUGUGGCAGUACCGUGAUGCAGAUCCUGGCUUUGGGUUUUCUCAAGCAAAGGAGAUGCUUGAUCAUCUAGAG
rnacentral:misc_RNA from 1 species